GAAUGGAUCAUGUUCAAGAUUCGAUCCGGAGACCGAUAUUUUUCAAAAGAAUCCAAAGACAAUCUCAAUUUAGGGAUCAAUAUAGUAUCGUACCAGUUCGAGACUGGUGUAAGAUCACUUCGAAUUAGGGUUGUCGGCAUAAGGCUUAUUGGUUGAUGGGGGGAUCAAGCCCUUCGGGUUAUAUCGGACUAAAAUUUGAAUCAAUGCUUGCGCCCUUCGAGGUUGUACUGGAUCGAAAUCUGGUUUAAUAUUUAUGCCCUUCCGAGCUUUACUAAUUCAGAGAUUGGGUUUAGAAAAUCUUAUCUCCAUUCGUGCCUCUCAGGGCUGUACCAUACUAAAAUUUGGAUGAAUAUUUGUGUCCUUCGGGGCUUUACCGGACUGAAGACCAAAUCUUGAUAAA
rnacentral:lncRNA from 1 species